UGGACGACAGUUUGAAACAAUGGUGCU
rnacentral:piRNA from 1 species